rnacentral:tRNA from 1 species
GGACCUGUGGUGUAGCUUGGUUAACACAUCCCCCUGUCACGGGGAAGAUCGUGGGUUCAAAUCCCAUCGGGUCCG